UUUGAGAGAGAGUUCAAGAGUACGUGAAACUGCUCAGAGGUAAACAGGUGGGCCCUCGAAAUCCCUUCGCGGGGGGAUUCAGUCGGGAGGGCGAUGGAUGACCGCAGUCGAUGGCUGGGACGCCGAAGCAGCGUCCGGCCGCGGUCAGGGUCCGUCGUUCCGCCCGACGCACUUCCCCCCGCGCCGAGGACGCCGCAGCCCGCUGGGGUCCGGCCAUGAGGACGCGCAGCGGCAGGUGGCGGGUGGCACUCUCCCACCGGAGCUGAGCCGCCCGUUGAUAGCCAGCGCGUCUCUCGAUCGGGCGCGGAACCCGGCGGAGGUAGCAAGACUCCCCCGUCCCGGGGAGCGAGCCGUCUCCUCGCCUAGACGCGAGCGGGCACGGUCUCAGGCGUUGCGUGUCUGAAACCGGCGACUCACCCCCAAGCGGUGACCGUCGGAGCGCGCUCGCCGUUGGAGACCGGCGUCCCGCCACGAGGGUACAGAUGGCUGGCGGCGAGUAGGUCGGUAACCCACCUGACCCGUCUUGAAACACGGACCAAGGAGUCUAACAUGUGCGCGAGUCGGCGGGUCUUGGAUAGGCCCGCAGGCGAAAUGAAAGUGAAGUACCGCCCUAGUCGCAGUAUGCGUUGGGAUCCCCCGAGUCCAAGGASUCGGGGGCGCACCAACGGCACGUCCGGUCCGAUUCAUCGGUCGGGCGUAGCGAGAGCGCACACGUUGGGACCCGAAAGAUGGUGAACUAUGCGUGGGCAGGGUGAAGUCAGGGGAAACCCUGGUGGAAGCCCGCAGCGGUUCUGACGUGCAAAUCGAUCGUCGGAUCCACG
rnacentral:rRNA from 1 species